ACUGAGGGAUUGGACCCAGGUCUCUUACAUUGCAGAUAGAUUUUUUUUUUUUUAAACCAUCUGAGCCUCCAGGGAAUCCCCUUCAGCUGCAAGAAUUUCCCCCCACCCCUUCCUCCUCUCCACCUUCUUCAUGGCACCAGUUUCCACACACUUCAAAGCAUGAAGUCAGGAAACCAUGGAAAAUCACAGGAGACCAGGACUAGAGCUGCGAGGACUUUGUAUUUCCCCAACCGGAUGACUUCUUCCCAGUCACAUCAGCAGCUAAAUUUACCGAGUAAGUGAAGAAUUAAAAGAGCCAGGAAGAAAGCCGGACUCUGGAAACUGAAUAUCCUUACCUGGGAGAGUUGUAAAGAAAAGUGAAAGUCACUCCUACUCUUUGUGACCCAUGGGCUGUAGCCCACCAGGCUACUCU
rnacentral:lncRNA from 1 species